AAUAUUGCUACUGAGGAGAAAACCUCAAUAAAAAGUCAUCAUUUAAUAUAUCAUACAUAUGUAGUAUUUUAAUUAUAAAAGUUUUACGUUCCCAUUGUUUCAGAUUUAUCAUAAGGAGUAAAAAAUAAAACACUUUUAAUAUGAAGGUGCUGUAUUUUUAUGUAUGUUCCCUUCUUUUAAUGAAAUAAAUAAAUUAAAAAUGUUUUAAUGUAUCAUAUACCUUGUACACAAUGAAUAUAUAUCACACAUCCAUAUAACAUACUGUUAUUGCAUUUAAUCAAUGUUAGAUAUACUAAUUAUAGUAUGUAACAAAUAUGUUAUAUAGUCAGAAUAAUUUGUUUGCAAGUACUGUACUAAAAGUGAUUUUUAAACAUAAUGUUACUAUUUAUUUUCAUUCAUAUAAAAUUUAUCUUUACUUUAGAUUUGACAUGUCUUAAAAGAAGCUGGAUCUAAUUAUGAUAAAGGUUUCAUUUAUUAAAAAUUUUUUUUAUUUUCUAAUUUGUUAAUUUAUAUUUUUCAAUUCUGAAACGAUCGAGAAAUAUGAUAUGAUAAACAUUAUCAGCAGUGAUUAAUAAUAUUAAUAAUUAAUUUUAUUAAACAUUAAUAAUAUUUACUCUUUAUAUCUAUUUACAGUCGUUGAAGUAACAAUUUUCUUACAAGAUAUUAAUGAGUUUAGUGAUGUAAAUGAACUCUACAAAGAAUUUUUUAAGGAGAACUAUCCAACUGGAUCUACAUUCCAAGUUGGAAAGUUACCAAUGGUGAGAAGUAACACACAUAUGAAUAUACACAUGUAAUUCAAAAUCUAACCGCUAACGUUAAACGUAAAAUAUUGCUGUAGGGUGCAAAAUUUGAAAUUGAAGCUAUCGCUGUUGUUGGCGAGGUAGAAACAAUUUGAAUAUUAUAAGCAAAAUUAAUUUAAAUGUUAUAUAUUAAUGAAAUAUGUUUGCAUUUAAGCAUUUAAAUAUUAUUUCGAAUUUACUAUUUCUAUGUGUGAUGCUUUUAUGAUUAUAUUAAUAACAAUUUGGUUUUUUUACCAUAUGUAUAUUUAAACAUAAGUUUAUUUUUUAAAAACAAAUAAUGGGAAAGAGUAAUGGGAAAUAUCUUUCAUAAAUUAUAUUAAAUAUUUUUGUACUAUUGAAAAACCUUAGAAAUAAAUAUUUUUGGGAAGUUUCCUCUAAUAUUUUGCUUUGUACAGGACAUAUAAAAAAAAAAUAAAAAACGUAUAAUAAUGAAUGUUAAUAGUAACCUGAUCAAAGUCGCCAAAUAUUUCAUAUAACAUUGACAUAAAAAUUAAAUUUAUAAAAAACACACUUAAUAGUAAUUCAUCACAAGAAAUAGUACUUUUUAAUUAAUAUCAGGUGUAGCAAAAGAAGAAUUUUUAUAUGUUGUAAAUAAAUUAUAUUACUUUAUAAAAAAGAAAGAAAACAUUUAUGUAUUUUCAUAAUAAUUUAUAAUGCUAUGACAAAAGUGUAACGAUAAAUGUAACUUUUAUCUCGUAAAAUAAAAGUAAAAUCGUGAAUAUUGUAAGAAUAUUAUAUUUAAAAUGUUUGAGUUUAAAUAUGUCAUUGUAAUAAAUAAACAAAAACGUAUCCUAACGAACAA